UUUUGCAUUUCUUUUUCUUGGGGAUGGUCUUGAUCACUGCUUCCUCUACAAUGUCACUAACCUCCAUCCAUAGUUCUUCUGACACUCUAUCAGAUCGAAUCCCUUGAAUAUAUUUGUCAUUUCCUCUGUAUUAUUGUAAGGGGUAUGAUUUAGGUCAUAGGUUCUCUUAUUUGCUAGUCUUUAAUGACACAUUCACAGGAUGGAUUGAAGCAUUCCCUACCAGGACAUAGAGAGCUACAGAAGUCUGUAAAGCUCUGCUAAAGGAGAUAGUGCCUACCUUUGGGCUGCCUUGAUCACUUCAGAGGGACAAUGGGCCCUCAUUUACAGCCAUGAUAUCCCAGAACCUGGCCAUAUGCUUAGGAAUGAAAUAUCACAUCCACACAUCAUGGCAGCCUCAAGCCUCAGGAAAGGUAUGCUGUGCUUAGUCACUCAGUCAUGUCCAACUCUUUGUGACAGGCUCCUCUGUCCAUAGGGAUUCUCCAGGCAAGAAUACUGGAGUGGGUUGCCAUGCCCUCCUCUCAGGGAAGGUGAAGAGAGCCAACCAGACUCUUAAAAGGGCUAUGGCUGCAUUAUGUCAAGAAACACAUAAUAAAUGGACCCAUAUGCUACCCAUAGCCCUCAUGAGGGUACAGGCAGCCCCUAAAUGGCCACUACUAAGCCCUUAUGAAAUGAUGUAUAGACGACCAUUCUUAACUUCUGAUUUUUUUUUUUUUUUUUUAAUGAGGACACCAAUGAACUCCUAAGACAUACAAUUGACCUGGGAAGGUUUCAACAAGAACUGAGAUAUGGAGAAAGGUCUUCCUAGGCCACAGGAGGACUUAAAAAAAAACCCAAGUAGAGCUGGGGGACCAAGUAUUAGUAAAGACCUGGCAAGAGAAAGGGAGUCCAAGCCAGAUGUCUGAGAAUUGGACAGGGCCAUAUCAAGUUGUCCUAGUAACCUCAACUGCUGUAAAAAUGAAGGGUCUAUCUGCCUGGGUCCACAAUUCUAGAAUAAAACCCUAUGGCCUUACAGGAGGGAGAGAUGGGGACUGAGACUCCAAAAGCAGAGGACAACUAUUCCUGUGAACCUGUUGAAGACUGCUGUUCAGGUGGAACACCAUCAAAUCUCCCUCAUGAGGUCCUGGUAAGGAACAUUGAACUAAUAAGCCACCACCAACUGGAGGAGUUGGGGAAAAGUCAGAAGGAGACACCACAUGUCUGACCACUUCCUAGAAUCUUUGUUGCUGGCAUCUGUCUUGGCUGAGCAAUGUAUGCAUCACCAGGAAGGACUCUUGAGUCAGGAUGAUUGGCCAAAGACAACCUGGAGAUGGAUCCCAUCUCCAUAAACCCCAAACUGCAAGCCACGUGGCAGAACAGUUCUCCUGGGUUCCCUUACCCUGCUGCUCUCCACCUGGGUGCCAAUUGCAAUAAAGUCUCUUCCUUCUAUCAGCACA